rnacentral:tRNA from 1 species
GGGCUGGUAGUUCAGGGGUAUGAAUGCUGCCUUGGCAUGGCAGAGGUCGGGGGUUCAAUUCCCUCCCAGUCCA